rnacentral:misc_RNA from 1 species
GAUGAAGAACGUAGCGAAAUGCGAUAAGUAAUGUGAAUUGCAGAAUUCAGUGAAUCAUCGAAUCUUUGAACGCACAUUGCGCCCGCCAGUAUUCUGGCGGGCAUGCCUGUUCGAGCGUCAUUUCAACCAUCAAGCCCCCGGCUUGUGUUGGGGACCUGCGGCUGCCGCAGGCCCUGAAAUGCAGUGGCGGGCUCACUGUCACUCCGAGCGUAGUAGUUACAUCUCGCUCUGGGCGUGCUGCGGGUUCCGGCCGUUAAAAGCCUUAUUUACCCAAGGUUGACCUCGGAUCAGGUAGGAAGACCCGCUGAACUUAAGCAUAUCAAUAGCGGAGGA